AGAGUUUGAUCAUGGCUCAGAACGAACGCUGGCGGCAGGCCUAACACAUGCAAGUCGAGCGCUGUAGCAAUACAGAGCGGCGCACGGGAGAGUAAUACAUGGGAACCUACCUUUUGGUUCGGAAUAACGUCGGGAAACUGACGCUAAUACCGGAUAAGCCCUACGGGGGAAAGUUUUUCGCCGAUAGAUGGGCCCAUGUUGGAUUAGCUAGUUGGUGAGGUAACGGCUCACCAAGGCUACGAUCCAUAGCGGGUCUGAGAGGAUGAUCCGCCUCACUGGGACUGAGACACGGCCCAGACUCCUACGGGAGGCAGCAGUGGGGAAUAUUGGACAAUGGGGGCAACCCUGAUCCAGCCAUGCCGCGUGAGUGAUGAAGGCCUUCGGGUUGUAAAGCUCUUUUGCAGGGGACGAUGAUGACGGUACCCUGAGAAUAAGCCCCGGCUAACUUCGUGCCAGCAGCCGCGGUAAUACGAAGGGGGCUAGCGUUGUUCGGAAUUACUGGGCGUAAAGGGCGCGUAGGUGGCUUGGCAAGUUGGGUGUGAAAGCCCAGGGCUCAACCCUGGAAUUGCACUCAAGACUGCUUUGCUUGAAUUCGGUAGAGGUUGGUGGAAUUCCCAGUGUAGAGGUGAAAUUCGUAGAGAUUGGGAAGAACACCCGUGGCGAAGGCGGCCAACUGGACCGACAUUGACACUGAGGCGCGAAAGCGUGGGGAUCAAACAGGAUUAGAUACCCCCGUAGUCC
rnacentral:rRNA from 1 species